GAGGCAAAUUGGUCUGUGGUAACAGACCACAAUUCAUUUUCUGUGGUGACACAUACUAGGUCCACAAUCUCAAUAGGCCUACAUCACAGAUAGAUCUUUGAAGAUGAGAUUACUAAAGCAAUCACAUGUUCUCUCAGCCACUUCUUGUUUCAUCUACAUGAAGGAAAAAUCUCCUCUAUUAAAGGAAGACAGUUAGCUUAUGAUUCCAUUUAACAGAAUGAAGAAGAAACAGUUGCUGGUUUUUUUACCUGGACAUAUUUUCAUCUGUUUAUAUUUACUCCCGCUAAUGCUGUAUAAUCCCAAAAUGCCCUAGUUUGUAUUGAGUGGAUGUUAAACCCCAUUUUCUCACUAAUGCUGUGAGUGAAUGAAAUAAGUAAUAAAGUAAUUUUCCCAAUUAAGAACUGGUUAAAAAGUAGGUGAAUUAAACUAUCUCACAGAAUAGGGGUAUAUUCUUUGAAUGACAUUUAGUAAUUGGAACAUAAUCAAAUAAAACAUAAUUUAUGAAUAACCAUUUAUUUCACUGGGACGUUUCAACAAGGUUUCGUUUCAACAAGGUUUCACAAGUCGUUAUCAAGCAUAUAUCAACACAAAUGAAUAUAGGGAAAUACAUGUAUAUAUUCUUAAAUACAUUUUUAUACAAAACUAUUACAGAUAAUCAAAUAUUUGUUUUUUUGUUUAAUUGUCUCCAUAAUUUGACAGAUUGUGUUAUGAAAUAUAAGAAAUGCUAGUUGCAUUUUAAAUGGAUAGUCUGUUAUUAUGCUAGAAUAUGGUAUAGUCUUGGUAUUCAUACAAUCUAUUCUGAUUUUAAAAAAUAAGAUUCCCGGUACUUAUUAUAUAUUUAUUUGUUUAAAUUUUCAUGCUAUUGUUUUUUUCUUAAAUUUAGUCCCAAAUUUAUUGUCAAAAUACUUGUAUUUAUUGUUGUUUAAGAUUUAUGUUACAAAUGGAAUACAUCCAUAUCUUAAAUGAAGAAAUAUUUUGUAUUGAAAAAAAAAAGAACUAACAUGAAAUGAUUGAUUGAAAAAAACAGAUCACAAAUAUACUUUCUAUUGUAAAUAUGUUCAAAUUACCAAUUUACAUCUCUUUCUUUUUAGUGAUUAAUUAUUAGAUGAGAUUUGUUUGUUUCAAAAGAUUUUUUUUCAUGUUACUUAGUGUGUUUUUAUAAAUUAGAAAUUUACGUUAAUUUGAAUUUAAAAUACCGGUAGUCCUUUUUUUUUUUAAAUUGUGUGGUUGAUUUAUUAUAUCUUUCUCAUGGAUAUAUAGAAAAUACUAGUACUUGAUUUAUGUAGGGGACAGUCAACAGUAUUGAAAUUAUUAUUUAAAGACUUAGUAGUUUCCAUUAUAUUUUCAUACAGAGAGGUAUAUAUAUUAUUUUCAUUAUAUAUUGCAUAGACUACAUAUUUUAGUUUAUAUACUGCAUAUAUAUUAGUUUAUAUACUGCAUAUAGAAUGAAUAUUUUAGUUUAUAUUUUUUUUUUACAUUGCAUAUAGACUACCGGUACAUGUUUGUUUAUUUCUUGACUACAUAAAGACUACAUAGUUUUGUUUAUAUUUUUCCUUAUAUACUGACUGCAUACAUACUACAUAGUUUUCAUUAUAUUUGACAUUCUUUUCUCAUUCAAUAUUGAAUCAUUGAGAUUUAGUUUUUAUACAUUGAAAUCUGGUCGUAUAUUGUUGUCGGUCCGUCCAGUGUCCACAAUGCUUGUGGACACUCUAGAUUUAUACACAGUGGUUAUGGUCAUGAGACGAAGAAGCCUAUUGAUUUUCAAUGACUUCCGAUAAUUACUGCCAGAGUAAUUUGAAAAAUCUUGUGGACGUUCUAGGGACUAAAGUUAUUGCCGGAUUGACUUUUAAUUUAUACACAGUGUUUAAUUACUGCCAGAGUUAUGGCCCUUGAUCACUUUGAAAAAAUUGUUGUGGAUGAUCUAGAGGCUAAAUUUAAUGUCUGAUUGAUACACAGUGUUUAAUGUCAUGAGACGAAGAAGCCUAUGGAUUUUCAACAAUUUCCCUUAAAUCAUCACAUUUCUCCCAAAAUGACGAAUCUGAUUUAAGCAUUGGGAAUUAUGCAUUUGAAAUUUGCACUCGGUUGUUAUUUCUGUGGCCGUCAGAUAAUAUUUAUGUAAAUGGCAUUCCGUGUCAUGAUGUAUAUGUAUGAAAUAUUAAAUCACAAAUAAAUGUUAUUUCAAACGCAUAAUUCUCAAUACUUAAAAGAUACAUUAAGUAAGAUUUAGAUAAAGAGCUAACCAUUCUUGCUAUAAUAGCUCAAAAAUAGAUAAUGUAAAAUGAAGUAUUGAAAAUUUCAUUCAAACUACAUCAUUCUGAGCCAAGUCAUUACUGUUUGUAAUUUUGACAAGAUGUGUGCAUAGUGGUGACCAGGGCACUGGUAUAUUUGAGACUUAGCCUCGCUUUCCCAUUUUUAAAUUAAAUUUUUAACUGGUGAACUGUUUUAAUCUAGUUAAAAUCUCGAGUAUCUGAUGCCAUCGAGAGUUGAUUAUGGUCUUGUUUUGUUAAUAAAUGUCUAAUUACCGGUAAUAGUUUAUAUAACAUUUCAGGCAUGAAGAAAGACCUGCAAUAGGCAGAUUUAGCUCUUGCAUAAUCUAUGUUUAAAUAUAUCAGAUUCCUCGGUUUGCAAGAACUGUGACAGAUUUCUGCCAGAGUUAUGAACCUUGGGCCUUAACCUCUUUGAAUAUUCUUGUUCACAGACAAAAGUUAUCAUCCGAUUGACAUUAUACACAGUGUUAACAGUCAUGAAACAACAGAGUCUAUUGACUUCCGAUAACUUGAACAGGAAAAUUCAUAAUAUUAAAUGGUUUGUAUACUAAACAUUAGCAUGUGGCAGAACUAGAAACCAAACAAAAUUCUAAUGAUUUCUGAUAAUUACUUCAUGUAAUGUUACUCUAAAUCAGUUUCUAGUGUGCUGUAAAUGUUUUCAUUUAACCGAGAAAAGAAAAAAUAUGUGACAACCCUUGUUGACUGCCCAGACUACUUAGCUGCUGUGGGCGUAUGUUUAGUUGCCUGGCAACCUAUCUUUAACUCCUUUUAUUUAACUGUUUUAUACUACUAUUACAUCUGGCAACCUAUCUUUAACUUCUUUUAUUUAACUGUUUUAUACUACUAUUACAUCUAUAUGUAUUAUUGAUAUAUAGCAUAUAUUUUGUUCAUAGUAUAUAUACUUGGGAUCAAUAAACAAAAUUUAAUCAAUUGGAA